rnacentral:rRNA from 1 species
AUGAAAGCUGUGCUUCCCUACCACCAUGUCAACAAGUUGGAGGAGGAGGAUGCCUGGUCAUUGCUCAAGAAACAGAUAAUCUUAAGUGAAACAGAUGAACGUGAAAUUGAUAUGCUCAAGGAUAUUGGAGUGCAGAUUAUAGCAAAAUGUGAUGGUCUGCCUCUUGCUGUCAAAAUAAUGGGAGGGCUCUUGUGUCAGAAGGACAAAAAACACCAUGAGUGGGAGAUGGUUCUGGAUGAUUCUAUAUGGUCAAUAUCUGGACUGCCUGAAGAGCUAAACCAUGCAGUAUAUUUAAGCUAUGAAGAUUUAUCUUCUUGUGCCAAACAAUGCUUUCUGCAUUACUCUCUUCUACCUAAAACUGCAGUGUUUUAUAGAGAUGAAAUCAUUGGCAUGUGGGUUAGUGAAGGAUUUGUUCAUGGGGACUCUGAUGACUUAGAAGAACUAGGAAACAAGUACUAUAAGGAGCUGAUACUGAGGAAUCUUGUGGAGCCAAAUACACAAUAUGUUGAUCAGUGUGUCUGCAACAUGCAUGAUGUUGUACGCUCAUUUGCUCAGUUUGUGGCUAGAAAUGAGGCACUAGCAACUUGCAGUGGAGAAACUAAUAUUGUUAGUAAACUUAGUGCACAUGAGUUUCUUCAAAUAUCUUUAGAAAGCAAAGGAUCAGAAUCAGAUGGUUUAGACUGGAGUUCUUUGCAAGCACAAUGUACACUAAGGGUGCUAAGUUCAGUUGGCUUAUAA